rnacentral:lncRNA from 1 species
GCUCCGACUACGAACAAUUACACCAUUAACAAAUUGCAUUCAAAGAUCUUUGUUUUUGCUCACCUUGUGUGACAUCACGUGUAGGUGCGGUGGAUUUCGCCCCCGCAUCAGGCAUCCCGCUCACAAUAUUCCUUUUAGCCCUAAGGCACUCUCUCCAUUAUUGGGCUGUAGUAGGUGCUAUAGCUUAGCUUAGCUGAUCAGCGACGCGUACUCUGAUAUCGACUACUACAGUGCAGCCGCCUCUUGGCAAGCAAUCCAUGGCAAGUAAGUCGAAGGACAUUCUGUGCGCGCGCACUGCGGAAUCGCGUGCUUUCAGUUAUUCAAAUGUGUUAUACUCUGCAGGGCUAACGAUGAUUGGGAGCUGACGCCUAUUGGGUGUGGACGAGGAGGCAGCGCAUCGCGGUGCCUUGCUGUGUAGGAGGAAGAACAUCCGCGGCCAUCCGUGGUGGGUGUGAUGGUCGGGGCUAAUUUGAUUGGAAUAAUAAAAAAGUAUCUAUGGACAUAGGUUCCUAGGCAGAGGGUUUUUGGGAGACAUGUAUAGCCUUUGUGGUGAUCUAGCAUCAAAGGCUUCUCGGGGAUAUGUCUGCAUGCUCAACACCGGUGUUUAGGCAUCCUAUCCGUAGGUAAUGGCACAUAGAAAGGUUUAGGAAGCGUCCGGGAAUUGGGGCAUAGGUGUAUGGCGGACGUUUUGGGUGGCUUUAGGGGAGAUGUUAGAGUGGGAGGGGGUGGGGGGUGGGGGGCCACCGCCGUAUCAUCCUACCCUAUAUAUCUUCUGCUGCCCCCAGCCAGCAGGCGAAAAGCCAGGGCACUGAUAUGCCCAAGACAACCCGUGUGGCUCGGCAGCCAAGGUGCACCGUGACCCGGCUGACCAGGGCGUGCAAUGGUGCCUUCCAGGCCGCCAAG